rnacentral:rRNA from 1 species
CCUACGGGAGGCAGCAGUAGGGAAUAUUGCUCAAUGGGGGAAACCCUGAAGCAGCAACGCCGCGUGGAGGAUGAAUGUUUUAGGAUUUUAAACUCCUUUUGUGAGAGAAGAUAAUGACGGUAUCCCACGAAUCAGCACCGGCUACCUCCGUGCCAGCAGCCGCGGUAAUACGGAGGGUGCAAGCGUUAAUCGGAAUCCCUGGGCGUAAAGGGUGCGCAGGCGGGCUUGUAAGUCAGAUGUGAAAUCCUGUAGCUUAACUACAGGACUGCAUUUGAAACUGUGAGUCUAGAGUGUGGGAGAGGUAGGUGGAAUGCUUGGUGUAGGGGUGAAAUGCGUAGAUAUCAAGAGGAAUACUCAUUGCGAAGGCGACCUACUGGAACAUGACUGACGCUGAUGCACGAAAGCGUGGGGAGCAAACAGGAUUAGAUACCCCAGUAGUC